GGGCGUUUAGCUCAGUGGUAGAGCGACUCGCUUACACCGAGUAGGCCGGGGGUUCGAUCCCCUCAACGCCCA
rnacentral:tRNA from 1 species